UACGGAAGGGGCGAGCGUUGUUCGGAAUCAUUGGGCGUAAAGGGCGCGUAGGUGGUUCUGUAUGUCUACCGUGAAAGCGUACAGCUCAACUGUAUUUUGUCGGUAGAAACUGCAGGACUUGAGGCUGGGAGGGGCUGGUGGAAUUCCCUGUGUAGCGGUGAAAUGCGUAGAGAUGGGGGAGAACACUCGUGGCGAAGGCGGCCAGCUAGACCAGUUCUGACACUGAGGCGCGACAGCGUGGGGAGCAAACAGG
rnacentral:rRNA from 1 species